UAAUAAUAAUGAACAUUAUUUGAAUACAAUCGCAAUGGUUUGCUUCUCGAAAUCGAUUCGAAUAAUUUUCAAAUACAAUUUCUAGUGAGCACCAAAUGACCGGCAAAUAACACGGCAUACUUUUCAACAAUCUCCAUUUUGACUUUAUUUUUGCUCAAACCAAGAAAUUGAAUAUCUCACAUCAUCAUCUCUCUACCAAACUAUCCCAAAGGGUAAAUCAACCUCUACAAAUGUUAACAAAG
rnacentral:misc_RNA from 1 species